rnacentral:lncRNA from 13 species
UCUCUAAACACCCCUUUCUGUCUGGCUUAGCCUGUGUCCUAGUCUCACCAUCUCUAAACACCCCUUUCUGUCUGGCUUAGUCUGUGUCCUAGUCUCACCAUCUCUAAACACCCCUUUCUGUCUGGCUUAACCUGUGUCCUAGUCUCACCAUCUCUAAACACCCCUUUCUGUCUGGCUUAGUCUGUGUCCUAGUCUCACCAUCUCUAAACACCCCUUUCUGUCUGGCUUAGUCUGUGUCCUAGUCUCACCAUCUCUAUACACCCCUUUCUGUCUGGCUUAGCCUGUGUCCUAGUCUCACCAUCUCUAUACACCCCUUUCUGUCUGGCUUAGCCUCACCAUCUAUUGCAUCUGCAUAGCUACUUCCUGUUACUUUAUACACUUAUCACCCAUUCCUGCUUUCAGCUGACCCUUUCCACUACAUAACCCAGAAACAUGAGUACCCCCCUUGCUUUAAUCUAUUGUACAUGAAGUACCAACACUCCACUCUGCAUAAUCCNNNNNNNNNNAAAAACUAUUGCCAUGUGUCCCCGUUCAGAGGCAUGAGAGACUAGUCAGUGGUAGAAUUGAGUUGGCACUUUAUUGGCCCAAACACCCACAGACACACAAGGUUGAGGUUACUCAUGGACAGUAAUUCAUUUUUUUUUUUUUUUUUUUUUUGCAUUGAUGCAUUGUGUCUUCUAACUGUCCAAGAAUAGGAUCCAAAGUGUUAGGAACUAUUUGUUCCCAUAAAUACAGAGGAGGAUGUCUCUCCUCAUACCUCUGGCACUUUAGUCAGACUGCCAGACUGUGUAACAACUUCAUGAUGGGGCNNNNNNNNNNUGGCGCCACUGACCUCGGAUGGAACAAAGUGCCUUCUCGGUCCAUAGGUCACUAAGUGUACCAGGUGUGUGACUGGUAGCGGGCUUGCUGACAUAGAACAGAUGGAGAGGUUAGAACAUUUGUGAAGAUCACAAAAGAGAUGACACCAACUCAUCGUGUUGACGCCCUCAAAGAUGCCCUCUACUACGCAUCCAGGGUCAAGGAGAAGCAAGGCAGCACCCAGUCGGACGUGGAAGUUUGGACCCGUAAGACGAAGGAGACCCUCACAGACAAGAGGACGUUGUUCCUUACCUGGCAGGAGAGAUGCGUGGAAACUCCCGCAGAACAACAGUAAGUCGCAUAAGCAGUUGCUACAUCUCUGACCUAAGGUUUUAUCCCGUCUCUAAACACCCCUUUCUGUCUGGCUUAGCCUGUGUCCUAGUCUCACCAUCUCUAAACACCCCUUUCUGUCUGGCUUAGCCUGUGUCCUAGUCUCACCAUCUCUAAACACCCCUUUCUGUCUGGCUUAGUCUGUGUCCUAGUCUCACCAUCUCUAAACACCCCUUUCUGUCUGGCUUAACCUGUGUCCUAGUCUCACCAUCUCUAAACACCCCUUUCUGUCUGGCUUAGUCUGUGUCCUAGUCUCACCAUCUCUAAACACCCCUUUCUGUCUGGCUUAGUCUGUGUCCUAGUCUCACCAUCUCUAUACACCCCUUUCUGUCUGGCUUAGCCUGUGUCCUAGUCUCACCAUCUCUAUACACCCCUUUCUGUCUGGCUUAGCCUCACCAUCUAUUGCAUCUGCAUAGCUACUUCCUGUUACUUUAUACACUUAUCACCCAUUCCUGCUUUCAGCUGACCCUUUCCACUACAUAACCCAGAAACAUGAGUACCCCCCUUGCUUUAAUCUAUUGUACAUGAAGUACCAACACUCCACUCUGCAUAAUCCACUCUACACUCAAAGGGAUGUUGCCUUCCUAACUGGUUAGUUGUAUGUUGAGAUGCUUUCAUACUGUUUACAUUUUCACUUAAAUAUCUGUAUAAUAUUUUCAAGGUCUGACAUGGUGUCCCCGGCAAUCACAGAUGAAAGGAACGCUCAGUUGACUACUCAGCUUGAAAAGUAGGAUGUUGUCUCUAUAUUUGUCCCACUGUAUUGGGACUACAGCUUGAAAAGUAAAUAGCUUUUUUUAGGAUGUUGUCUCUAUAUUUGUCCCACUGUAUUGGGGCUACUCAGCUUGAAAAGUAAAUAGCUUUUUUUAGGAUGUUGUCUCUACAUUUGUCCCACUGUAUUGGGGCUACUCAGCUUGAAAAGUAGGAUGUUGUCUCUAUAUUUGUCCCACUGUAUUGGGGCUACUCAGCUUGAAAAGUAGGAUGUUGUCUCUACAUUUGUCCCACUGUAUUGGGGCUACUCAGCUUGAAAAGUAGGAUGUUGUCUCUACAUUUGUCCCACUGUAUUGGGGCUACUCAGCUUGAAAAGUAGGAUGUUGUCUCUACAUUUGUCCCACUGUAUUGGGGCUACUCGAUAUAGGUUCUAAACCUUUUAACAUAAAUGUUCACGUUUCAGCCUGGAGAAAAGGUUGAAGGCCAUGGAGAAGAGAAACCGGAUUGUACGCUGGUCUCGUCAACACUGUGCAGCAAUUUUGGAAAAGUCUGCAGACUAAGAUGAUUCUCUGUCUGCUGGCUACAAUCCAUAGACUGGUCCUGUAGCGCUCUUCCUAUUGUGGCCUGGUCAGAAAGUCUGCAGACUAAGAUGAUUCUCUGUCUGCUGGCUACAAUCCAUAGACUGGUCCUGUAGCGGUCUUCCUAUUGUGGCCUGGUCAGAAAGUCUGCAGACUAAGAUGAUUCUCUGUCUGCUGGCUACAAUCCAUAGACUGGUCCUGUAGCGCUCUUCCUAUUGUGGCCUGGUCAGAAAGUAUACAGGUACUGCAGCCAAUUUAGUGUUGUUGAACACUGCAUCACUCCCUGGCAGAUCACUGCUGUUAUCUACGUCUCAUUCAACCAGGUGUUUUGAACUAUAUGAAAGAUUUCUAUCAAACUUCACGAUUUUCAUGACCAUUUCUUAAAAUUGUUUUUCAGAUGGACAAACCAUUGCUGUGCGGCUCUCCAGAAAAUUCAAGCGUACAUCAGAGAGAAUAAAACCGCAGAUCAACGCCUACAAUGGAAGGAACAAGUCACCUUAAUUCCCCCCAAGACAGGAGUAUGUGAAGGUUCUCCAGCAAGACCAUCCAGUCUGGUCCCAGGUGUCCAACAACCUGGGGGACAGUCUGCUCCGGGCAAAGCAGUGUGCAGUGAUGCUGCAUAACAUGUGCCUUAGGGCAGCGGAGGAGAGGCACACAAUACAGGCAGACCUACACAAUGGCCUUUUGUAUUGCCAGCAAGAGCUGGGGCUUUUUAAAGAUGCAUAACAUGUAAAAUGCAGAACAUAUUAAAGCUCCAGCAAGCAUUUUCAAUGUUGGCUGAUGAUGGCUCAGUCAGCACAGAUGUAAAAGAGGACAGUGAAUCAGAAGAUGAAAGUGGUUGAGGAAUGAAUGUCUGUGUGUGUGUGAGUUUUAUAGGGCAAACUAUACACUGAGUAUUUCUAACAUUAGGAACACCUUCCUAAUAUUGAGUUGCACCCCCCCAGCCCCCCUUUUGCCCUCAGAACAGACUCAAAUUGUUAGGUAAUGUCACCUGUACCCCCGCACAUUGACUCGGUACCAGUACCCCCUGUAUAUAGCCUCGUUAUCGUUAUUUAAUUGUUACUUUUGUAAACUUUAUUUAGUAAAUGCAUUUUCUUAACUCUAUUUUCUUAACUGCAUUGUUGUAUAAGGGCUUGUAAGUAAGUAUUGUAAGUAUUUCAUGGUCAAGUUUACACCUGUUGUAUUCGGCGCAUGUGACAAAUACAAUUUGAUUGGACUCUACAAUGUGUGGAAAGCGUUCCACAGGGAUGCUGGCCCACGUUGACUCCAAUGCUUCCCACAGUUGUGUCAAGUUGGCUGGAUGUCCUUUGGGUGGUGGACCAUUCUUGACACACGUGUGAAAAACCCAGCAGCGUUGCAGUUCUUGACACAACGGUGCGCCUGGCACUUACUACCAUAACCCCGUUCGAAGUCAUUUAAAUAAUUUGUCUUGCCCAUUCACCCUUCUGAAGGGCACACAAUCCAUGUCGCAAUUGUCUCAAGCCUUAGAAAUCCUUUAACCAGUCUCAUCCCCUUCAUCUCCACUGAUUUAAAU